AUCAUAACGCUGGCGGCACCUUAGCUUACAGUCAGAGCGGAAACGACGGGAGCUUGUAUCCCAGGCGUCGAGCGUGCGUGACGUGGUAUACGCGUAGGAAUCUACCCAGUAGAGGGGGAUAGCCCGGGGAAACCCGGAUUAAUACCGCAUACGCCCUAAGGGGGAAAGGCCGGGAUCUUCGGACCGGUCACUAUUGGAUGAGCCUGCGCUAGAUUAGCUAGCUUGGUGGGGUAAAGGCCUACCAAGGCGACGAUCUUUCCCUGGUCUGAGAGGAUGAUCAGCCACACUGGAACUGAGACACGGUCCAGACUCCUACGGGAGGCAGCCGUGGGGAAUAUAGGACAAUGGGCGCAAGCCUGAUCCAGACAUGCAGCGUGUGUGAAGAACGCACAAAGGUUGUUACACACUCACUCUUACGGACGCAAAGCAACAGACAAUACAU
rnacentral:rRNA from 1 species